AUUUUCAUACCUAGAAUUUAUAGGUACUUUUGUACCCAAGAUUUAGUUACUAUAAUAUAUACAGAUUAAUACAAACAUUAAUAAAAAGACAAUUCUGUUGACAUUUUAAAACAACCAGCUAGCUGGCUUAUUCUAGCAGAAAUACUCUGUGAGCAAUCAGGUGACAUAUAUCAUCUCCGUUUUCCAGGCCGUGGGACCCUGUCAGAUGAGCAUGCUGGAGUGAUAUCUGUUCUAGCCCAGCAAGCAGCUAAGCUAACCUCUGACCCCACUGAUAUUCCUGUGGUGUGUCUAGAAUCAGAUAAUGGGAACAUUAUGAUCCAGAAACAUGAUGGCAUCACAGUGGCAGUGCACAAAAUGGCCUCUUGACACCUCAUAUCUGUUCUUCAGCAGUCUGUCACAGGAACUCGAUCCUACCUAUGUUAAUUACCUUAUAGAACUACUAAAGUUCCAGUAGUUAGGCCAUUCAUUUAAUGUACAUUGGGCACUUUUCUAUUUAUUUAAGAGUCAAUUGCUUUCUAAUGCUCUAUGGACCGACUAUCAAGAUGUUAGUAAGAAAGGAUCAUGUUUUGAAGCAGCAUGUCCAGGUCACUUUGUAUAUAGAAUUUUGCUAUAUUCAAUAAAUCUGUUUGGAGGAAAAUGGA